rnacentral:sRNA from 1 species
AUUUUGUAGGCAGGACAAAUUUGGGGUUAGAGGUUUCAUGGGUGGAUUGAUGUCCUUACUCUCCACUGGAACUCCCACUUUUGUAGUAUAUAAAGGGUCCCAGCUUGGAUGGUUCAUUCCCAUCAUGCCUUGCACCCUGUGCUGAGGUUUGUGGAAGGUGAAGUAUGAGGUAUGUAGAGGGUGAAGCAUCCCAGUAAUUGUUAUGAAAGUUUACACUUGUCCUGCCUGACCUGUGCUGUGUGACAACACUUAAUCUGCGGUGCCUCAAUCUUCUUAUCUGUAAAAUGGCACAAAUUCUACUACUACUACUACUACUACUACUACUACUACUACUACUACUACUACCACCGCCACUACUAUUACUAACUUUUAAGUAGGGGAGAAGUGAAAAAAGGGGGUAUUGUGUGGCAAAAGUUCUACCUUCUGUAAAGUUGGUUUCUCUUCCUUUUGUCCUUAUUUUCAGAGAACUCAGAAUUUAAAAAUAGUUGCACCAGGAAAAAGUCUCCACUUGAGCUGCGUCCUGUGCUGGCCUUAGCCAGGACUCCCAUGAACAUGGAAGACAGAAUUGAACAAAUAUCCAGCCACUUGUCUGUAUCGACAGUGACAACAUUACCUACAUGGCCUCCGCCGUGCCCUGUACCCUGGGUAACAGAUCCUCAGCUCCAAGUGACCACAGAUACCUGGAGGUUGAAAGAAAGAGGUUUUUACAAGCCUUCUUGAAUUCCUUUCCUUCAUUAGUCUACUGCCUGGGAAAAUUCCCAGCUUGUCCCUUCCCCCACCCCCAACCCAAAGCCACUUUGUUGCGCUGGCAUAAUUUCUUACAAUAACAUUAACAUAUCACUGGAGCUCAUUACCUUUGGUGUAAUAGUUCCCUAUUGAACUGUGUCAGACUAAUUAUGUCAGUUCCUUUUCAUUCCAGUUUAGUGCUUCUCCUGAGAGUCACCGUGCAGCACUGGUAAUAAUGAUUAAACUGCUGUCUAAUGCUCCACUGGAUGGCCAAACCAAACAGGGAAAUUCCUCUCUGAAGAUGGGACUCACACAGCCCUGCAUUUGAUGCAGUUUGCUGUUUUAAAAGCCAUUCCCUGGUGGCCAUUUCUACGUGACAUUGCAGGGCUGGCAUUGUUGGGGAAUGAGAGGGCAAAUUAGAGAAGGAAAUAACUUUGCAAGACCUGAUGUCACCAAGAGGCAACUCAAGUACUUUCUACUAGCCUGGGGAGCCUUGGAGGUCUGAUGGGGACCAUCUGGAACCAAGCUAUGUAGCUCAGCCAGUAGAGGUGUGGGUAUACAGAAGAGGCCAAGGUAAUGAAUCAGGACAAGCCAAUAUCAGAUGCUUAAAGCUCUGUUAGUAGUGUCAGUUGAAAGAGGCCAUGGAAGGAGGAUGACAAUGAAACCAUUUUCACAUUCCAAUGGUAGUCUGGGAGAGCAGGAGCCCAAGUGGAGCCAGGAGCCCAAGUGGAGCUUGUCUUUGUCUUUUUGCGUAAAGGGAAGGAAUGAACCUCACACUUUGGCAGGAGCUGUGGUUGAUGUCCUUUACCACCCACAGGGACGCUAAUCUGUUCUGAGAACCCAUCACCAAUGAUUACCAUUCUAAUAAUAGCAGCCAGCAUCAAAUUCUUUGUGAACAUGGUGAACACUACCUCCAGCUUCCUGAGUCAAGAUUCAACAGGACACCCUGUAGAGCUGGAAGAGUGGUGGGAUGCAUGCUAGUGAAAGCCCACGGUAUGGAUGACCUGCUGAAGGUGAUUUGAUGAAGACUUGGAAGAAAACCGUGGAGAACUGCAGAGGAUAUCUGAGCCUCUAUUUCAGCACAUUUCUUUGCUAUUUACCGAGGACUAGAGUGCCGCUCCACCCACGCAGGUCCCAUUCCAGAAGUGAUUGAUGACCACUGGACACUCACAGAUGGACGCCGAGAGCCGCGCCUGCUCCUUCGUGCGCCUCAGUGGCGGCAGUGACGCGAUUUUUCAUGUGUGUGUUGGCUUCUGAGUCCUCAUCGAGCUCCCGAGCGUAACCAAACCCAGACAGCAUCCGUGAGAUGAAAAAUAAAGUGCGAUGUUUAUGAUGC